AAUUCCAGCGAGAGACAGAGGGAGUGAGCGGGCGGGUUGGAAGAGCCCAGUGUGCAGAGCCCCACUCCGGGCUUCCUAGGAAGGCAGCUCUGGAGUGAGAAGGGCUUUGCCUCCAGGCUUGCUGCCUCCUCGACCCAAUCCUCCCGCUGACCCAACAUCAGCGGUCGCAACCCUCGCCGCCUCUGGGAAACUUUGCCCAUUGCAACGGGCAGACACUUCUCACUGGAACUUACAAUCUGCGAGCCAGGACAGGACUCCCCAGGCGCAGGGGAGGGAAUUUUUGUCUAUUUGGGGACAGUGUUCUCUGCCUC
rnacentral:other from 1 species